rnacentral:lncRNA from 1 species
CAAUUAAAAUAUUAGUAACACUUCAGAAGCAUGCGUUCCCUAUUUUUGAAAACCUAUAAACAUUAGUUGUGUAUGAUAAUUUCAGUAAUACAAUAUAUCUUUAGUUGUUUGCAAAUUUAGAAAAUGAUUGACUAACACAUUUCAGAUGUUUGUAAUACACUGUUUAUUAUCACUAUUAUUUUACCAAAGUACCACAGAAAUGUUCAGGUUCAAAUACUAGUCUUCUUGUUGGAUUGACGUUUCUAAGUUUCUUUUUGGGAGUCCUUUUAUCUUCAUCUAUAUCUGUCGUCCUCGGAAAGAUCAGAAAUCCAAAGGCACAGGUAACCAAAGGAACAUCCAGACAUUACGAAGAACCGGUGGAUCUCCAAGCAACGCCCAGAGAUAAACAAGCAUUGGCUUACAUGUCAUAUAAACGUGAUUCGAGUGCAGAGGAAAAGACAUAUGAAGAUCUAGAGUGGAAUGAUGACAACCCAGUUGCUUAUAUAAACGUCAAAGCAAACAAAGAGAAUACUUAAAAUUACUAAUUUGAAUGUAGCACCAAAUUCAGUAGACUAGACUGGUUAGUAAACGUAAAAUUACAAAGAUUAUGAUGGUCGUCGAUAAACUCUUGGACUCUAUGACGGAAAUGUAUUUUACAGAAGGAAACGAUACACAUAAUACCGUAGUUAUGUAGACCUAGAUUUUAGCUCAGGUAGAUGGCGACCGAAACCAUUAUUUAUGCUUGCCUAAGAAACAUUUUUUUACUCAUAUGAACUUGACCGAGUAGUGCUUGUAGCACAGAUAAUUGUCAAUACUUAAAGACAGAAAUAUGAUGUAUAAAAAAAACGAUGUUUAAACCGAAU